rnacentral:rRNA from 1 species
AGAGUUUGAUCCUGGCUCAGGACGAACGCUGGCGGCGUGCCUAACACAUGCAAGUCGAACGGAGUGUUGCGCUGAAAUUGAGAUUAGCUUGCUAAAGGAUAUUUCUUGUAACACUUAGUGGCGGACGGGUGAGUAACGCGUGAGGAACCUGCCUUACAGAGGGGGACAACAGUUGGAAACGACUGCUAAUACCGCAUGAUGUGGAGGGGAGACAUCUCCCUUUCACCAAAGGAGCAAUCCGCUGUAAGAUGGCCUCGCGUCUGAUUAGAUAGUUGGUGGGGUAACGGCCUACCAAGUCGACGAUCAGUAGCCGGACUGAGAGGUUGAACGGCCACAUUGGGACUGAGACACGGCCCAGACUCCUACGGGAGGCAGCAGUGGGGGAUAUUGCACAAUGGAGGAAACUCUGAUGCAGCAACGCCGCGUGAGGGAAGAAGGUUUUCGGAUUGUAAACCCCUGUUUUUAGUGAAGAAACAAAUGACGGUAGCUAAAGAGGAAGCCACGGCUAACUACGUGCCAGCAGCCGCGGUAAUACGUAGGUGGCAAGCGUUGUCCGGAAUUACUGGGUGUAAAGGGUGCGCAGGCGGGAUUGCAAGUUGGAUGUGAAAUACCGGGGCUUAACCCCGGAGCUGCAUCCAAAACUGUAGUUCUUGAGUGGAGUAGAGGUAGGCGGAAUUCCCGGUGUAGCGGUGGAAUGCGUAGAUAUCGGGAGGAACACCAGUGGCGAAGGCGGCCUACUGGGCACCAACUGACGCUGAGGCUCGAAAGUGUGGGUAGCAAACAGGAUUAGAUACCCUGGUAGUCCACACCGUAAACGAUGAUU